rnacentral:rRNA from 1 species
GGAAUAUUGGACAAUGGGCGCAAGCCUGAUCCAGCCAUGCCGCGUGCAGGAUGACGGUCCUAUGGAUUGUAAACUGCUUUUAUACGAGAAGAAACAUCCCGACGUGUCGGGACUUGACGGUAUCGUAAGAAUAAGGAUCGGCUAACUCCGUGCCAGCAGCCGCGGUAAUACGGAGGAUCCAAGCGUUAUCCGGAAUCAUUGGGUUUAAAGGGUCCGUAGGCGGUUUAAUAAGUCAGUGGUGAAAGCCCAUCGCUCAACGGUGGAACGGCCAUUGAUACUGUUAGACUUGAAUUAUUAGGAAGUAACUAGAAUAUGUAGUGUAGCGGUGAAAUGCUUAGAGAUUACAUGGAAUACCAAUUGCGAAGGCAGGUUACUACUAAUUGAUUGACGCUGAUGGACGAAAGCGUGGGUAGCGAACAGGAUUAGAUACCCCAG